rnacentral:rRNA from 1 species
CUGGAACGCGCCCCAGGCGCACCCAGAAACCCUUUGUGAACUUAUACCUUACUGUUGCCUCGGCGCAUGCUGGUCCUUCGGGGCCCCUCACCCUUGGAUGUUGAGACAGCCCGCCGGCGGCCAACCCAACUCUUGUUUUUACACUGAAUCUGUGAGAAUAAAACAUAAAUGAAUCAAAACUUUCAACAACGGAUCUCUUGGUUCUGGCAUCGAUGAAGAACGCAGCGAAAUGCGAUAAGUAAUGUGAAUUGCAGAAUUCAGUGAAUCAUCGAAUCUUUGAACGCACAUUGCGCCCUCUGGUAUUCCGGAGGGCAUGCCUGUUCGAGCGUCAUUUCAACCCUCAAGCCUGGCUUGGUGAUGGGGCACUGCUUUUUACCCAAGAAGCAGGCCCUGAAAUUCAGUGGCGAGCUCGCCAGGACCCCGAGCGCAGUAGUUAAACCCUCGCUCUGGAAGGCCCUGGCGGUGCCCUGCCGUUAAACCCCCAACUUCUGAAAAU